CUCACCCAGCACAGAUACAAUCUGAGCAGUAGCCGGGCAGACAGAGAUGCAGACGGAGCAUCCUGAAUUACAGGGGCAGGGGAAUAGAGACGGAAGGGAUUUCACAAAGUCUACUUCCUUUCUGAGGACAACGUUCGCCAAUCUGUCUGCCCACUCACUAUUUAUUCCUAUUUUUCCCCCAGUAAACUUUAAACUCCUCACAGAAGCUCCUUUUUCUCGAUUUUCUUCAUCUCCGAAUAACCUUCUUGAAUUCUCUCCAUUGUUUCUUUCCAGCAAUGUUCACCCAAGUAGUGAUGGCCAGAACCAAAGCAUGAGCACGUUACCAUGCUUACCAUGAGCACUGCCACAUGUCCCCCGUGGGAUAGGGGUGUGAGGGAUCCACAGCAGCCUUGCUAUUGGGCUUAAAGCUACUGUUGAUACUGGAGGCAUCCCAUCCGAGGGAGUGAAGAUGGCUCUGUAUAGUCCUUUAUGACUCUCCUCACAUAUUCUCUCGUCUCCCGUGUGACUCUGAACCACCCAACUUGUUAGCAUCUUCGUGGAUCCCCAGGGUGUGCGGUAUACUCACUGCAAAUACUGAACAUGGUCCCUCUUCUCAAGAAAUCAAAUAGAGUCGCAUCGGGAUGAACCGGGAGCUCAGGAGGUGCUUGAAGCAGAGUUCAAGAAGGCCGAGACAACUGUGGAGCCGUGGGGAUGGAAGGCAGAAAAUUACCGAAUGUGUGAGGCCGACCGUGGAGAAAGUGUGACUCCGCCUGUGACCCCUGUGACCCCUGUGACCCCUGUGACCCUGCCCUCGCUCCCACGGUGCCAGUGACAGCUCAGGGAGGUUUAGCAGCCACAAGAGAAGACUGUACAUCCUCCUUUCAGAAUAACCCGAAACGUCUUGAACAGGAUGGAUUCAGAACCAUCAACUCUGAAAACAAAACGACUCUGAUGAGAAAGGGCCUUUACUGCCCCCAUGUGGUGAGUGCAGGACAGCGCGGAAGGAAUCAAAUGGGACUCGUUCUACGUUGUAGGAGGCUGGAAGCCAUUCUAGUUGAAAUCGAUGAGAGGGACAUCUUUGGUGAAAUGCUGCCAUCUUGUGGUAACUGUGAGAAGAGCUGUGGCAUUUCCAGGCAUGUGUGGUCAGCUUUGUGAGCCACCUAGACCCUUGAAGUAGGAAUUCAUCCUUAGGAAAACUGUGACUCCAGUUGAAUAAACCUUGGCAUUGGUAUCUUC